AAAAAAUGUAAGUACAGAAAAAUAGAGUAGUAAUAGUUAUAUUCUUAAAACUUAAUAAAUUUGGCGGUAUUUUAAUCUAGUCAGAGGAACUUGUUUUAUAAUUGAUAAUCCUCGUUAAAUCUUACUUAAUUUAAUUAAUUUGUAUACCAUCGUCAUAAGAAUCUCUUAAAAAAGAAAAAAUUUUCUUAAUAAUUAAUUAAUUUAUAUGUCAGAUCAAGGUGCAGUUUAUAGUUAAGAAAAAAUGAGUUACAAUAAAAUUAUUUAUACGGAUAUUUAAUUUAAAUAUUAAAUUAAAGGUGGAUUUGACAGUAAAAUAAAUAAUAGAGUUUAUUUGAUUUUAGUUCUAAAAUAUGC
rnacentral:rRNA from 1 species